AGAAAGUGCCAGGCACGUAGGAGUUCAGGAGACAGUCACGGUACUCCUUUACAGACAGAAGUCAUGCGGAACAAGAGGGACGGUGCUUUCCCGUGUACCGUGCUUGGGGAUACUCACACAGACAGUUACAGCAUGUGGCAUGGCAGGGAAAGGAGGAAAUGACUUCUGUUAAUCAUUCCUUCAGCUUCUCCCGCCCUUCCUGUGCACCCUGUCUGUUUCCCUUUCCAAUUCUCACUGUGACUCAAGGAACAACGUGUGAAAUGAAAGACCUCAGGUGCUAUAUCGGCUCUUGACAGGUCUUCAGUAGAAAGCACCUCCUGCCUGUUCUGUUCAGUCCUGGUACAGGUGGUCCUGGACCACACUUUGAAAAAUGCUGGGGCAGAAACAAGCCAGCAAGCAUAUGGGAUUCAUCUGCUGUGAGUGGUAAUUUAUCUAGUUUCUAAAAAUAGUGUUAGGGGCUGGACUGUGCCCCCCUCCCUGCUCCCAUGCAUAUGUUGACGCCCUAACCCAAAGUACCGAAGUACCUCAGAAUGUGACUGUAUUUGGAAAUAGGGCCUUUAAAGAAGUAAUUAAGUUAAAACGAGGUCACAGGGUGGGUUCUAAUGUAGUAUAACUGGUGUCCUUAUACGAAGAAAUUAGGACACAGACCCACACAGAGGGGGGACCAUGUGAAAACAGAGGGAGAAGACAGCUGCCUGCAAGCCACAGAGAGAGCCUUCGAAGAAACCAACCCUGUGGACAAUUUGAUCUCAGGAUUCCAGCCUCCAGAACUGUGAGAAAAUAGAUUUCUGUUGUUUAAGUCACCCAGUCUGUGGUAUUUCAUUAUGGCAGUGAAGCUGACUAAUACAAACAGAAGCCUGAUUUCACUUAAUAGUCAUCUCAGAAGGUAGAGAUUGCUCCAACCUAUUGUAUAAACUAGGCUGGUUUGUGAACCAAAGGACAUGAGCCCCAGAUCUGGAGUCGCAGGGGUAGCAUGACAUGCACAGAUAGCACAGCUUCUGGUGGCAGGCAUUCCCACACUCAGAGACUCAAAGAACGUUCCUCCCUAGCCUUCCACCUGAGUGACUUUAGACAAGACAGCUAUUGUUAUUUUAUUUAACAAAUAUGUAUAUAGUGCUUACUAUGUGCCAGAUAAUAGUCUGUGCACUGUGCAAAUAUUAACUCAUUUAAUCCUCAUUAUAACCCUGUGAUAUAUACACUGAAGAGCCACAGUCUCUUAUUCAAACCCUUGCUUAGGGCCAGCAGUGGUUGGCAUGUCAGAACUUGCAGAUUUAAGGAAUACGUACCAUAGGCUUCAUAACACCUCAUGGCAUCUGCAACAGCGUCCUCUUAGGAAACAUACUAAUGUUUCUAGUUUCUGUAGUGACACAUAUAUAUGCUGCAUAAGUAAAGACUGUAAGUAUCUUUGUGUCAACUCAAGACACAAGGAUACUUUUAUUCAAUGUGCUUGUUUCAAGUCAGGUUUUGCUGCCA